AAUGAAUUUUGAUAAAGAACUGCAUGAUUAAUCGGAAAUAUGUAAUGCCUAUGUGCUGUCAUGGAUUCAAAUUGCUGUGGCAAAGGAACUGUACAGUACUGUAGUUUAUGGAGCAAAUACUCAUGGAGUUUUGAGAGAUUUGAAGGAUAGUUUUGAUAAGAGAAAUAUUUCGAGAAUCUAUAACUUGCAUCAGGAGAUAAUAAAUCUAAAAUAGGAAAUGUCAUCUGCAUCAUGCUACUACUCAAGGUUGCGAGAUUUGUGGGAUGAGUAUGAUGCUAUGGAUCCUACACUUUGUUGUCCUUGUCCAGAAUCUAGAGUGUUUGCAAAACAUGUGCAACAACAGAGAUUAGUGAAGUUUCUAAGUGGAUUGAGCGAGUCAUUUGCACAAGAUAAAGGGCACAUUAUGAUGAUUAUUCCUACACCAAUAGUGAAUGAAGCAUAUGGAAUGGUGAUACAAGAUGAGAGCCAAAGAGCCAUAGUAGCAAGCAAACAACCACUAGAGAUAGGAGCACAUGUAAUUACAUACAAUCCUAAUCACUGUUACAACACAGGGCAAAGUUCAAACUAUAAUUCUAGUCAGGGGCACAAUGUAGGACAAAGCUCAAAGAUGACAGUUAACACUGGCCAAGCAUACAAUGCAGGGAAUCAGAGGUAUAAUGCUGAUCAGAACUUCCCAAUGGCAUCCAAUAAUAGAUCAGUAUAUAAUGGUGGACAAAAUUCAAGGGGAAAUAAAAACUACAGACAAAAGAGGGAUCUAUUCUCUACUUUGCAAGACAAGCAACACCACACAUGACACAGAUGGAGGCUGGAGGUCAAAAUUUCCUAAGGCAAACAACACCAAACAUGGCACAGGUGGAGGCAAGCAUUCAAAGUGAGAACAAGCAAGGACCACAUGUUGGACCUAUCGGCUAGGGAAACUUCUUCACUGAGGAGCAAUAUCAGCAAAUCAUGCAUCUUCUAUCAAGGAGCAGCUCAGGAACACCUGACAUAGCAGCACAUUCUAAGGUCACAGGUAUACCUCUAUCACUACUAAGUCAAGUGGAUAAAGAUAGGUGGAACAUUGACACUGGUGCAACAAACCACAUGUUUCUAGCUUGGAACUCUUUACUGAUUUUGUGGAAUUGCGAAUGAGUGACACAAGGAGAGUGCAAUUGCCAACUGGUAAGACUAGUAGGAUCACUCACUUAGGAAUGAGGAUCCUUACAUAUACUAGAUGGUUUAUACAUUAAGAAUGUACUAUAUGUUCCCAAGUUUAAGUAUAAUUUGUUGUCAACGUCCAA